AUGGUUUUUUCUCAGACAUCCUCUCUGGCAGUAAAGCUUGCACAAGGACCCAAGCUCUUUACUACAAAGACAAUUCUCCCCAUGGAUCCCCCGGGUGUUGUCUCCUCUGAAAAUGCUGAAUAUGAUUUUUCUGAUGUUUUUGGUUCCAGUCCAGUCGAGACAGCAACAGAACUUUGUGUUGUUGAUCCAGACAGCCCUGCAGCUCCCAUUGAGUCCCCUGAGGAGGUUUAUAAUGAUCCUGCGGUCAUCUUCAAGCGGUCACAUUCUCUUGUUGGCCCAUCAUCACUUGUUAGCUGCUCUUUGGGACUUGGCAAGCUCACUCUAAACAUAGCAGAUGGAUCAUCAGAACUUGUAGGCCACACUACAGAAGAAAAGGAACUUAACCUAGAGCAGUUCAGUGAUGAAGAGUUUGGUGAUGCCGUGACUGAGGAUGAGGGUGUUGGGCUUGAUGACUUUGAAAUCUUGAAGCUUGUAGGCCAAGGGGCAUUUGGCAAAGUCUUUCAGGUGAGAAAGAAGGGUACUUCAGAAAUAUAUGCAAUGAAAGUUAUGAGGAAGGACAAGAUACUGGAGAAAAACCAUUCCGAGUACAUGAAAGCUGAAAGAGACAUACUGACAAAAGUUGACCAUCCUUAUGUAGUGCAGCUGAGGUACUCCUUUCAGACCAAAUAUCGACUUUACCUUGUCCUGGACUUUGUUAACGGGGGGCAUCUAUUCUUUCAGCUCUACAAGCAAGGAUUAUUUAGGGAGGAACUUGCACGAAUCUACACAGCUGAGAUUAUAUCUGCUGUAGCCCACCUCCAUGCUAAUGGGAUUAUGCAUAGAGAUCUUAAGCCCGAGAACAUCCUAUUGGAUGCUGAAGGCCAUGCCAUGCUAACUGACUUUGGCCUUGCGAAAGAAUUCCGUGAGAACACCCGAUCAAACUCGAUGUGUGGCACUCUCGAGUAUAUGGCCCCUGAAAUUAUUCAGGGCCAGGGGCAUGAUAAGGCCGCAGAUUGGUGGAGUGUAGGAAUCCUCCUGUUUGAAAUGCUGACGGGCAAGCCCCCGUUUGUCGGGAACAGAGACAAAGUUCAGCAGAAGAUAGUGAAGGAGAAGUUGAAGCUUCCUCCGUUUUUGACUAGCGAAGCCCACUCGCUGCUGAAAGGAUUGCUGCAUAAAGAAGCCGGCAAGCGGCUGGGAACCGGACCCGGCGGCAGCGACGAGAUAAAGAGGCACAAGUGGUUCAAGCCGAUCAACUGGAGGAAGCUGGACGCCCGGGAGAUCCAGCCGAGCUUCCGGCCCGACGUGGCCGGCCUGACCUGCAUCGCCAACUUCGACGUGUGCUGGACCAACACGCCCGUGCUGGACUCCCCGGCCGCCACCCCCGUCACUGCUGGCGGCGGGCAAGGCAACUUUGCGGGGUUCACCUAUGUCAGGCCCGCGCCGUUCCUCCAUGACCUGAAGCCGCCCUCAAGCUCUAGCUAG
rnacentral:rRNA from 1 species